rnacentral:tRNA from 1 species
GAGGGUAUAGCUCAGUGGUAGAGCACAUGCAUCAGGUCCUGGGUUCAAUCCCCAGUACCUCCA